UUACGGCCACAUCACGUUCAAAUACCGGUUCCCGUAUAGUCACUGAAGUUAAACAACGUCAAGCCUGGUUAGUAACUAGAUCGGUGACCGCUUGGGAAUACCAGGGACUGUAA